UACGUAGGGUGCGAGCGUUAAUCGGAAUUACUGGGCGUAAAGUGUGCGCAGGCGGCCGAGCAAGUCGAGUUUGAAAGCCCCGAGCUUAACUUGGGAACUGCGCUCGAAACUACUUGGCUAGAGUGUGGCAGAGGGAGGUGGAAUUCCACGUGUAGCGGUGAAAUGCGUAGAGAUGUGGAGGAACACCGAUGGCGAAGGCAGCCUCCUGGGCCAACACUGACGCUCAUGCACGAAAGCGUGGGGAGCAAACAGG
rnacentral:rRNA from 1 species